CCCUUAAAUGUUCUGGGCCGCACGCGCGCUACACUGAUGCAUUCAACAAGCCUAGCCUUGACCGAGAGGUCCGGGUAAUCUUUGAAACUGCAUCGUGAUGGGGCUAGAUUAUUGCAAUUAUUAAUCUUCAACGAGGAAUGCCUAGUAAGCGUGAUUCAUCAAAUCGCGUUGAUUACGUCCCUGCCCUUUGUACACACCGCCCGUCGCUCCUACCGAUUGAAUGUGUUGGUGAGGAGCUCGGAUUGGCAGCAGUUGGUGGUUCGCCACCGGCUAUUGCUGAGAAGUCCUCCAAACCGCCCCAUUUAGAGGAAGGAGAAGUCGUANCA
rnacentral:rRNA from 1 species